AUAUCAGUCAUGCAUAGCAUAUCAAUAAGCGGAGGAAAAGAAACUAACAAGGAUUCCCUUAGUAACGGCGAGUGAAGCGGGAAGAGCUCAAAUUUGAAAUCUUCAAGGUUCUACCUUGACGAAUUGUAGUUUAUAGAAGUGUUUUCUGUUAGUGGAGUGGCAAAAGUUCUUUGGAAUAGGACAUCAUAGAGGGCGAGAAUCCCGUAUUUGGUCAUUCCUCCUAGCGUUGUGAUACACUUUCAACGAGUCGGAUUGUUUGGGAAUGCAGUCCAAAAUGGGUGGUAAAUUUCAUCUAAAGCUAAAUAUUGGCGAGAGACCGAUAGCGAACAAGUACCGUGAGGGAAAGAUGAAAAGAACUUUGAAAAGAGAGUUAAACAGUACGUGAAAUUGUCAAAAGGGAAGCGUUUGACACCAGUGUUGUUUUUCCGAAAAUCAAUUACGAAUGUUUUGUUUUUGAGAAGUUAUGACUUCAUCGGCUUGCUUCUCUCUUUACGAAACUUUCUUAAUGCACUUUUCGGUUAACAAGUCAACAUCAAUUUCUUUUGUUGUAAAAGGGUAUGAGGAAGGUGGCUUUCUUUUCGGAGAAAGUGUUUAUAGCCUUGUACCUCUGCAAUCGGAGAGAUUGAGGUCUGCAGCGUAGAUCCUUCGGGGUUAGAUACAUUUGUGCUAAGUUAUAGCUUUUCAUAGACAACUUGUUGACUAUGUUAAGUCUUGUAGCUUACUCGCUUAUGCUAUUUUACCUACGCUUAGGAUGUUGAUGUGAUACUGCGAGCA
rnacentral:rRNA from 1 species